UAGAAUUUCAUCUCCCACACCCGUCUGCCCCAUUUCCCUGGCAGAAAUCACGGCUAAUCCCAUCCCAUCCCCAGGAACACAGGGAAAGCCCUCAGGCUGAGCCCCUGCUGUGGCACACGAGCUUUGGAGCAGAAGGAUUCUCCAUGGCACCGCUCCAGGGUUAAAAUAUAACUUGGAAGCAGAAUUCCAGCCUGCUCCAGGUCAUUAUCAGGGAGCAACACCUGAGAGAGCAGGAGAAAGGGCUCAUUAAGGUGACUCUAAUUCCCCCUCCCUGCUCUGCCAGAGGGAUCGGAAGGAGAUUAAAGUUCUUGCUCAAGGAGAGGAAAACCUCGAUAAACCCUGUGGAGCAAUCCUGGGAAAUGUGUCCCUGCCAGUUUUAUUUCCUUGGAUCACAGAAAGGGAAGUUCCCGCGCCCGGAGUGGUCUGGGGAUCGUGGCUCCUGCUGGAAUUAUGGGUGUGGAUGUGGCUCUCCAGCUUUAAAUGGCAUUUCAUGUGGAAAACACAGCGACAAAACCUGCCAGCAGCACAGGUUUGGUCUCUCGCCGAGGAAAUAAAGCUGCGCGUUCCCACGGAGAACAGAGAAUUCCCAGCACAAAUAAGGCGAAGAGGAAGGAGAACAGCUCGUGCUGCCCCCAGCACCUCUCCAGGCCCUGAGGAUGGUUUUCCUCCUUCCCAAGGCCCACACAGCAAUAAAUCGCCCUGCAGUAUCAUGGGAAUGGUUAACCUUGAUUUGAGUUCAUGCAACACCUCCUUCCCUGCAAGGUCGAAUUCCAAAUAAUCCUUUGGAGAGGAACGGAAUAAAAAAGUCAG
rnacentral:lncRNA from 1 species